AAUUUUUCUAUUUUGGUAUUUCAAGAGCCCACUGUUGCUUAGUUACCUAUGCACAUGCGCGAUAGCUCUUGAACUCUUGAACUGCAGCUCUCCCGGGUCCACUGU